UGUAAAGAGGGGUAUACCCCAUAAAUGGAAUUACAAUCCACCACCUAUAUUCAGCCACCUUUAC
rnacentral:tRNA from 1 species